GCUUACCAUGCAGUCGAACGAUGAACCUCACUUGUGGGGGGAUUAGUGGCGAACGGGUGAGUAACACGUGAGUAACCUGCCCUUGACUCUGGGAUAAGCCUGGGAAACCGGGUCUAAUACUGGAUACGACCUUCUGGCGCAUGCCAUGUUGGUGGAAAGCUUUUGUGGUUUUGGAUGGACUCGCGGCCUAUCAGCUUGUUGGUGGGGUAAUGGCCUACCAAGGCGACGACGGGUAGCCGGCCUGAGAGGGUGACCGGCCACACUGGGACUGAGACACGGCCCAGACUCCUACGGGAGGCAGCAGUGGGGAAUAUUGCACAAUGGGCGCAAGCCUGAUGCAGCGACGCCGCGUGAGGGAUGAAGGCCUUCGGGUUGUAAACCUCUUUCAGUAGGGAAGAAGCCGGUCUUUUGGGUUGGUGACGGUACCUGCAGAAGAAGCGCCGGCUAACUACGUGCCAGCAGCCGCGGUAAUACGUAGGGCGCAAGCGUUAUCCGGAAUUAUUGGGCGUAAAGAGCUCGUAGGCGGUUUGUCGCGUCUGCCGUGAAAGUCCGGGGCUUAACUCCGGAUCUGCGGUGGGUACGGGCAGACUAGAGUGCAGUAGGGGAGACUGGAAUUCCUGGUGUAGCGGUGAAAUGCGCAGAUAUCAGGAGGAACACCGAUGGCGAAGGCAGGUCUCUGGGCUGUAACUGACGCUGAGGAGCGAAAGCAUGGGGAGCGAACAGGAUUAGAUACCCUGGUAGUCCAUGCCGUAAACGUUGGGCACUAGGUGUGGGGGACAUUCCACGUUUUCCGCGCCGUAGCUAACGCAUUAAGUGCCCCGCCUGGGGAGUACGGCCGCAAGGCUAAAACUCAAAGGAAUUGACGGGGGCCCGCACAAGCGGCGGAGCAUGCGGAUUAAUUCGAUGCAACGCGAAGAACCUUACCAAGGCUUGACAUGAACCGGAAUGAUGCAGAGAUGUGUCAGCCACUUGUGGCCGGUUUACAGGUGGUGCAUGGUUGUCGUCAGCUCGUGUCGUGAGAUGUUGGGUUAAGUCCCGC
rnacentral:rRNA from 1 species